ensembl:lncRNA
AAAUAAAAAGAGGACAGAAAAAUAUGAAAAAAGAAAAAAGAAAAAAAGAAAAGAAAAAAAACAGUAGAUGAAAAAAGAAAAAACAAAAGGAAAAACGAAUAAUGACAAGAGAAGAAAGGUAAAGAGAAAAGAAGAAAAAAGCCAAGUCAAAAAGUAAAGAAUAACUCGAAGGAAGGAGUGGAUGGCAAGAAAUACAGAGAAAGCAGUGCAUAGCACAGCAGAGCAAAGCAAGGCAAAAUAGCAGCCAAAGCCACGAGAAUCAAGAAGUCAGUGAAGAGCAGGAAAGGUAAGUUUCCCUUAAAGCAAGGGGGAAUGGUAGUGGAAGGGAGAAAAGAGAG